rnacentral:rRNA from 1 species
UGGGGAAUAUUGCACAAUGGGCGCAAGCCUGAUGCAGCAAUGCCGCGUGAGUGAAGACGGCCUUAGGGUUGUAAAACUCUUUCGCUAGGGAAGAUAAUGACGGUACCUAGUAAAGAAGUCCCGGCUAACUCCGUGCCAGCAGCCGCGGUAAUACGGAGGGGGUUAGCGUUGUUCGGAAUUACUGGGCGUAAAGCGCACGUAGGCGGACCAGAAAGUUGGGGGUGAAAUCCCGGGGGCUCAACCCCGGAACUGCCUCCAAAACUAUUGGUCUAGAGUUCGAGAGAGGUGAGUGGAAUUCCAAGUGUAGAGGUGAAAUUCGUAGAUAUUUGGAGGAACACCAGUGGCGAAGGCGGCUCACUGGCUCGAUACUGACGCUGAGGUGCGAAAGUGUGGGGAGCAAACAGGAUUAGAUACCCUGGUAGUCCACACCGUAAAACGAUGAAUGCCAGUCGUCGGGUAGCAUGCUAUUCGGUGACACACCUAACGGAUUAAGCAUUCCGCCUGGGGAGUACGGUCGCAAGAUUAAAACUCAAAUGAAUUG